rnacentral:rRNA from 1 species
UUUUAUCAAUAAGCGGAGGAAAAGAAACCAACAGGGAUUGCCUUAGUAACGGCGAGUGAAGCGGCAACAGCUCAAAUUUGAAAUCUGGCUCUUUCAGAGUCCGAGUUGUAAUUUGCAGAGGGCGCUUUGGCUUUGGCAGCGGUCCAAGUUCCUUGGAACAGGACGUCACAGAGGGUGAGAAUCCCGUACGUGGUCGCUAGCUAUUGCCGUGUAAAGCCCCUUCGACGAGUCGAGUUGUUUGGGAAUGCAGCUCUAAAUGGGAGGUAAAUUUCUUCUAAAGCUAAAUAUUGGCCAGAGACCGAUAGCGCACAAGUAGAGUGAUCGAAAGAUGAAAAGCACUUUGGAAAGAGAGUCAAACAGCACGUGAAAUUGUUGAAAGGGAAGCGCUUGCAGCCAGACUUGCUUGCAGUUGCUCAUCCGGGCUUUUGCCCGGUGCACUCUUCUGCAGGCAGGCCAGCAUCAGUUUGGGCGGUGGGAUAAAGGUCUCUGACACGUUCCUUCCUUCGGGUUGGCCAUAUAGGGGAGACGUCAUACCACCAGCCUGGACUGAGGUCCGCGCAUCUGCUAGGAUGCUGGCGUAAUGGCUGUAAGCGGCCCGUCUUGAAC